rnacentral:rRNA from 1 species
GUUAACGAGGCGAACCGGGGGAACUGAAACAUCUAAGUACCCCGAGGAAAAGAAAUCAACCGAGAUUCCCCCAGUAGCGGCGAGCGAACGGGGAGCAGCCCAGAGUCUGAAUCAGCUUGUGUGUUAGUGGAACGGUCUGGAAAGUCCGACGGUACAGGGUGAUAGUCCCGUACACCAAAAUGCACAGGCUGUGAACUCGAAGAGUAGGGCGGGACACGUGGUAUCCUGUCUGAAUAUGGGGGGACCAUCCUCCAAGGCUAAAUACUCCUGACUGACCGAUAGUGAACCAGUACCGUGAGGGAAAGGCGAAAAGAACCCCGGCGAGGGGAGUGAAAAAGAACCUGAAACCGUGUACGUACAAGCAGUGGGAGCACCUUUAGGUGUGACUGCGUACCUUUUGUAUAAUGGGUCAGCGACUUAUAUUCUGUAGCAAGGUUAACCGUAUAGGGGAGCCGCAGGGAAACCGAGUCUUAACUGGGCGUUAAGUUGCAGGGUAUAGACCCGAAACCCGGUGAUCUAGCCAUGGGCAGGUUGAAGGUUGGGUAACACUAACUGGAGGACCGAACCGACUAAUGUUGAAAAAUUAGCGGAUGACUUGUGGCUGGGGGUGAAAGGCCAAUCAAACCGGGAGAUAGCUGGUUCUCCCCGAAAGCUAUUUAGGUAGCGCCUCGUGAACUCAUCUUCGGGGGUAGAGCACUGUUUCGGCUAGGGGGUCAUCCCGACUUACCAACCCGAUGCAAACUACGAAUACCGAAGAAUGUUAUCACGGGAGACACACGGCGGGUGCUAACGUCCGUCGUGAAGAGGGAAACAACCCAGACCGCCAGCUAAGGUCCCAAAGUCAUGGUUAAGUGGGAAACGAUGUGGGAAGGCACAGACAGCCAGGAUGUUGGCUUAGAAGCAGCCAUCAUUUAAAGAAAGCGUAAUAGCUCACUGGUCGAGUCGGCCUGCGCGGAAGAUGUAACGGGGCUAAACCAUGCACCGAAGCUGCGGCAGCGACACGAUGUGUUGUUGGGUAGGGGAGCGUUCUGUAAGCCUGCGAAGGUGACCUGUGAGGGUUGCUGGAGGUAUCAGAAGUGCGAAUGCUGACAUAAGUAACGAUAAAGCGGGUGAAAAGCCCGCUCGCCGGAAGACCAAGGGUUCCUGUCCAACGUUAAUCGGGGCAGGGUGAGUCGACCCCUAAGGCGAGGCCGAAAGGCGUAGUCGAUGGGAAACAGGUUAAUAUUCCUGUACUUGGUGUUACUGCGAAGGGGGGACGGAGAAGGCUAUGUUAGCCGGGCGACGGUUGUCCCGGUUUAAGCAUGUAGGCUGGUUAUCCAGGCAAAUCCGGAUAAUCAAGGCUGAGGUGUGAUGACGAGGCACUACGGUGCUGAAGUAACAAAUGCCCUGCUUCCAGGAAAAGCCUCUAAGCAUCAGGUAACAUCAAAUCGUACCCCAAACCGACACAGGUGGUCAGGUAGAGAAUACCAAGGCGCUUGAGAGAACUCGGGUGAAGGAACUAGGCAAAAUGGUGCCGUAACUUCGGGAGAAGGCACGCUGGUGUGUAGGUGAAGCCCCUGCGGGUGGAGCUGAGACCAGUCGAAGAUACCAGCUGGCUGCAACUGUUUAUUAAAAACACAGCACUGUGCAAACACGAAAGUGGACGUAUACGGUGUGACGCCUGCCCGGUGCCGGAAGGUUAAUUGAUGGGGUUAUCCGUAAGGAGAAGCUCUUGAUCGAAGCCCCGGUAAACGGCGGCCGUAACUAUAACGGUCCUAAGGUAGCGAAAUUCCUUGUCGGGUAAGUUCCGACCUGCACGAAUGGCGUAAUGAUGGCCAGGCUGUCUCCACCCGAGACUCAGUGAAAUUGAACUCGCUGUGAAGAUGCAGUGUACCCGCGGCAAGACGGAAAGACCCCGUGAACCUUUACUAUAGCUUGACACUGAACAUUGAGCCUUGAUGUGUAGGAUAGGUGGGAGGCUUUGAAGCGUGGACGCCAGUCUGCGUGGAGCCAACCUUGAAAUACCACCCUUUAAUGUUUGAUGUUCUAACGUUGGCCCCUUAUCGGGGUUGCGGACAGUGUCUGGUGGGUAGUUUGACUGGGGCGGUCUCCUCCCAAAGCGUAACGGAGGAGCACGAAGGUUAGCUAAUCCUGGUCGGACAUCAGGAGGUUAGUGCAAUGGCAUAAGCUAGCUUGACUGCGAGCGUGACGGCGCGAGCAGGUGCGAAAGCAGGUCAUAGUGAUCCGGUGGUUCUGAAUGGAAGGGCCAUCGCUCAACGGAUAAAAGGUACUCCGGGGAUAACAGGCUGAUACCGCCCAAGAGUUCAUAUCGACGGCGGUGUUUGGCACCUCGAUGUCGGCUCAUCACAUCCUGGGGCUGAAGUAGGUCCCAAGGGUAUGGCUGUUCGCCAUUUAAAGUGGUACGCGAGCUGGGUUUAGAACGUCGUGAGACAGUUCGGUCCCUAUCUGCCGUGGGCGCUGGAGAAUUGAGGGGGGCUGCUCCUAGUACGAGAGGACCGGAGUGGACGCAUCACUGGUGUUCGGGUUGUCAUGCCAAUGGCACUGCCCGGUAGCUAAAUGCGGAAGAGAUAAGUGCUGAAAGCAUCUAAGCACGAAACUUGCCCCGAGAUGAGUUCUCCCUGAGACUUUAAGUCUCCUGAAGGAACGUUAAAGACGAUGACGUUGAUAGGCCGGGUGUGUAAGCGCAGCGAUGCGUUGAGCUAACCGGUACUAAUGAACCGUGAGGCUUAACCUU